rnacentral:lncRNA from 1 species
AGUCCGCGGCUUGUGUGCCGCGAGGAGAGGCGCAAAGGGUGACACACCAGGAAAGCAGGUAGCAGGCAAGAGUGUGGUUAUCGUUGGACCAGGAUUCAGGAUCUGACUGAGUAGCUGACUCUUAAUCCAGUUUGUGUUGAUCACCAGGAGGAUCUGGACCUCAGUAUUACCACAUCUAGAGCUAUAAUCACAUCCCUGUUAAGCCUUCCUGAGAUCACACCAAAUGUCCUUGAUGGGAAUUGUAAACAACCCUUACUUCUGGUUUCUAAUGAUAUUCCAGGAAAGGAGCCUAACUAGAGUCAGUGAUAUGCCAACUCCACCUUUGCCUUCCACCAUGUUUGGAAGCUCCCUGAGGCCUCACCAGGAGCAGAUGCUCGUCCCAUGCUUCCUAUAAGCCUGCAGAACUGGAAAAGAAAGCUGGAUAAAGUAUUUAUAGAAGAUAGAGGACCUGUGGUGGCUCAUGCCUGUAAUCCAAGGUGGAAGGAUUGCUUGAGGCCAGAAGUUCAAGACCAGUCCAAGCAACAUAGCAAGGCCCCAUCUCUACAAAAAAUGAAAAUAAAAUUAGCCGAGCGUGAUGGCUCAUGCCUGUAGUUCUAGCUUCUAGAGAGGCUGAGGCAGGAGGAUUGCUUGAGUCCAGGAGUUCAAGAUUACAGUGAGCUAUGGUCACACCACUGCACUCCAGCCUGGGUGAUGGAGUGAGACUGUCUCAAUAAAAAGACAAAAAGGCUGGCCAGGGGCAGUGGUUCAUGCCUGUAAACCCAGCACUUUGGGAGGCAAAGGCAGGAGGAUUGCUUAAGCCCAGGAAUUUGAGAUCAGCCUGGACAACAUGGUGAGACCCCCAUCUCUACAAAAAUUUUUUUUAAAAGUUACCCAGGCAUGGUGUUGCACAUCUGUGUUCCCAGCUACUGGGGAGGCUGAGACGGGAGGAUCACUUGAGUCCAGGAAGUUGAGAGGUUGAGGCUGCUGUGAGCUGUGAUUGUGCCACUGCACUUUAGCCUGGACAACAGAGGGAGACCCUGUCAACAACAACAACAACAACAAAAAAGCAAAACAUCAUAGGCUGCAGAAAUAAACUUUCUUGUCAAUUGUGUCUUUAACCAUGACCAUUUUGAGUCAUUUCCACAGUGAGUUGCCUAAUUUUGAUGCAUUUCUGAAAACUCUUUAUAAGCAAGUAAAAUCCUAGAGAAUUGUGCCUUCAAGGAGACUCAUGGAAAGGAUGGAAAGAACUCUUGAAUACAUGUUUCUGAUAGCUUUAUGAUCAUAUCAUUUGGACUGGGUAAGAAUUCCCAGAACUCAUGAAGAGACUGACUAUUUAUUAAUCCAAGCAGGAAAAGAAUUAAUUGAAUACCAAGGAAAUACUGUGCCAGAGAUUUUCAUGCUAAAUCAGUCAGCACCGAAAUCGUUAAGAUGUGUAGUUUGAAUGAACUCCAUGAUCCUAGUCAAAUUUCCUAUGAUGACCCAUUUAAUAAACAGUGCUAUGCACCUGAAUUGGAGAAACAGAAUUGAUACUUAAAUCCAAUGUUAAUCAUAGAUUCAUGGAAAGCCUAAAUGGCUGCUUGGGUCUUCCUGAGCCCUUAAAGCUUCCAUUAUUAAAGGCUCUGCACUUUAUAAGUUAUCACUGAAGAGAGAAAAUGAUCCAGAUUUAAAAUACACAUAUUGGUGUGGUGAAUGUUCUAAAUUGCGAAAAUGGUUUAUGACCAACAUUUGGUUUGUCAUGCUCACAAUCCUGGAAAUACAUUCAAAACUUCAGGUACAUUUCUGCUACCUGAUGGGCUAUUUGAAUAUAUAGAGAGGGAUUUCAUUCAAUUGCCAUUUUCAUUGCAUGUUUUUUGGUUGUAUAGAAGCUUUCCCAUGCAAGGAGGCUGAUGCUGUUAUUACAGUAGCUAAAAGGUUAGUAGGAAAUGUGUUUUCCCCCAUGGGGCAUUCCUGGAGAAAUCUCUAGCAAUAAAGGUACUUGUUUGACUGGACAAGUUGUAAAACAGUUUAAUAAGGUUUUUUUUAGGUGUCAUAGCAUUAGGCAAAGCUAACUGAAUUGACUGGAUUGUCAUAGUCAAACAUAUUGCAGAUCCGCUUCCAAUAGAAGACAAUGAAAUAGUCACUGGAAAGCCUGUGCUCCUAAUUUUAGAACCUCAUGUAUCUUCUGCUCCUAAACUCUGAUAGGACUAAAUGCUGUGAGGCCUCAAUGCAUUAUGUUAAUGUGUAUUUUCACCAGGUCAAGGAAGCUUUUCCUGAUCCACUAACUAAGGACAAUCAAACCCUUCAUGAUCUAGAAUCUGGAGACUGUGUCUUCUGGGAAUAGUAUCAGAGAAAGACUGCCCUUACUGCCCACAUGUAGCAAAACUUUGAGACGUUGAAUUAUGGGUCCAUAAUCUCACAACUCAGAGGGGCACCUCUAGACUCUUGGAACUGUAUAUCUAUUGGAGACUUUAAGGUAAAGCUGAACAGAGAGACGUUUUUCUCCAGAAGCAGACAGCACCAUAGUCAUGGACAGCUUUCCCAAGAUCACAGAUCAAGACUUCUCUGCCGUCAUGAGACUCAUAACCUCUUAAUUUUUUCUUGCUUAUGCUUCUGUGAACAAUAGAAUUGGAAAAGGGGUGGUCCCGCGUGCACCCAUAGGGUAUACUUUUAUUUGUGGAGGAUUUUGCUGCCAACCUUAUACAUGGGCAAACUUAUGCCUUCAUGGAUGGAAGAUAAAGGGCUAAUAUGGGUUAGAAAUUUUAAUGGUACCUUUGUUUCUCCAUAAUCAUUCAGAAACAGAACACUGGUCCACUCUUGUUAACCUACAUCAUAGGUUGAAGAGAACAUUGCCAGGAGGCCUUCAUCCUUCCAGAUGGGCACCAUUUGUUGGGUCUUUUUCCGUGGUAUGAAGAAAAUGAAGCAAUGAUUAGAAAUUGGUCCCUCGGCCGGGCACAAUGGCUCAUGCCUGUAAUCCCAUCACUUUGGCAGGCCGAGGCGGGUGGAUCACCUGAGGUCAGGAGUUUGAGACCAGCCUGACCAAUGUGGUGAAACGCCAUCUCUACUAAAAAUACAAAAAUUAGCUGGGUGUGAUGGUGCACACCUGUAAUCCAGCUACUCGGGAGGCUGAGACAGGAGAAUUGCUUGAACCUGGGAGGCAGAGGUUGCAGUGAGCCAAGAUCACCCCACUGCAUUCCAGGUUGGGCAACAGAGCAAGACUCUGUCUCAAAAAAAAAAGAAGAAAGAAAGAAAUUGAUCCCUCAUAAUAGGCUGUAUAGCAGAUUCUACUGCAAAGGCUAUGGUUGCACAACAGACUUCUUUGAAUUUGCUUGCUAAACUUUUACUGGAUAAUACUGGGAUUACAGGUGUGAGCCACUGUGCCCAGCCUCUCCUGUUUAACUGUAUUCAUUCUAAUGUUUACUUACUUCUUUAAUUUGUAAAAUUGGGUCACUUAGAGUUUUUUUAGCCUAUCUUGCCAUUUAGCCACUGUUACUGAUAAUUUGGAUGGAAAAGAAAAAUAAAUUAUAUCACCUCUCAUCUUCAGUGUAUAUAUGUGUUAACUUAGUAAAUAUAGUAUUCUUUCUCGUUCCUAAUGAAAAUUUAGUUUACGUACUGAAACACUGCAAACUUUUAUAAAUAUUGUGAUGUAUUUGACCAAUACAAAGGAUCUUUUUAGAAACAGCAAACAGUUCUCAGAUUAUAGGAAUUACUCAUUUAAUGAUAGUUUCUUCUU